CUCCACUGCACACCAGGCCACCACUGCUACCCUGCCCCACGUCCACCACAUGUUCUACUUAUAGCACAGGACAGAACUGUCUUCCCAAGCCAUGUCUUCAUCAGUUGCUAUGGAGACUGGGUGAUUAUUAAGCCGUGGUAAACAAACAGACCCUGAAGUGUUCUCACCUGGGCUCACCCUGGCAACGUGAACUAGCACCCACAAUGGGGAUUGUUCCCUGAGUGUCUACCCUGCCUCAUAUCUACAAACUGGAUCGCUUUACUGAGUCUCCCUGGACAUGGCAUGCGGUUUCUGGUCAGUGGCCACGUGGGCUUCUCAGUGUCCAGUGGCAGGUGGUUCCUCUCGGCUCUUGGAGGUCUCUGGAACAGCCGUGACUCCAGAUCUUCAGUGGAGGUCACAUCGGAAUCUGGACCUGGGCACCCUCUCAUGGAGCAGCAUUUUUCUCUACCUGGGGUGGAAUGGAGGGCGGGCACCGGCUCCUGCUUACCAUGAUUUUGAAUGGCCACACAGCCACGGCCUCUCGUGGAGGGAGAAGCACACUGUAUUCUGGAAAUACCAGCAGACCUGCCCCAAAGCACCUUUCAGGGGGCUAGGCUGAAGGCCAUGUGCUCUACCCACUGAGGUACAGUCCAGUCCUGCAAGGCUGAGAAAGGACACCUUGAGGAAGGACAUCUGAUACCACGUUGGGAGACUCCUCUUUGGAGUCUGCUGCAUUUACAAGAGGACAAGAGGGCAGGGGUCAGACAUGCCUAAGAGCACAGGAGUUCUCAGCCACGUCCCUCUUGUGAAUGGUUCUUCUGAGGAAAAGAUGUGUCUGAGCUUGGGAAAGAGGACUUCUGUCUCACAUUUGAAGCU